rnacentral:rRNA from 1 species
GACGAACGCUGGCGGCGUGCUUAACACAUGCAAGUCGAACGGAAAGGCCCUGCUUUUGUGGGGUGCUCGAGUGGCGAACGGGUGAGUAACACGUGAGUAACCUGCCCUUGACUUUGGGAUAACUUCAGGAAACUGGGGCUAAUACCGGAUAGGAGCUCCUGCUGCAUGGUGGGGGUUGGAAAGUUUCGGCGGUUGGGGAUGGACUCGCGGCUUAUCAGCUUGUUGGUGGGGUAGUGGCUUACCAAGGCUUUGACGGGUAGCCGGCCUGAGAGGGUGACCGGCCACAUUGGGACUGAGAUACGGUCCAGACUCCUACGGGAGGCAGCAGUGGGGAAUAUUGCACAAUGGGCGGAAGCCUGAUGCAGCAACGCCGCGUGCGGGAUGAAGGCCUUCGGGUUGUAAACCGCUUUCGCCUGUGACGAAGCGUGAGUGACGGUAAUGGGUAAAGAAGCACCGGCUAACUACGUG